rnacentral:lncRNA from 1 species
UCUGUUACAGAAUUUGUAGGACAGGAGGGGAAAUGGUUCCCUGAGCAAGCAUGGAUGAGUCUUGCUGGGAACAAGGGCUAGACUUUACCGCAUCCCAGACCAUGAGCUAUCUUUCUGAAAAGAAAGAGGAGGAGGAAGAGGAGAAGAAAUAAGUCUCUAGGCUUCAAGCAAUGCAGAAUGUGGAGGCAACGGAAGGGAUUUCUGUCAGAUUAAUCAACCUGGUUUCUGCUGCCUUCCAGUCAAUGAAUGAAGUCAGAACCGAAUGACAAGGGAGUCAUUUGUAUCUUGUGAUAAAUGGAUGCUUUUCUCUAGUGGGGGUCCUGACCUGGGGGUCCUCAGGAGUUGCUCCCCACCCCCACCCCACCCCACCUCCACUCCCUGCUUCUGUCUCCUUUUCUGCAAUAUCUGCCGCUGUCCAGACAGAUUUGUGGGCUUCUGGAUGAAGAUCAGCUGCUGGAGUCCCAAGUUGCGGGUGGCAUUGGCUCAGGAAAACCAGGUCUUGACCCACACCGUUCAUCAGCUAAGCAAUGCAGCUACAGUGCUUCAGCAGCGUUUGGACGCCUUACCAGCUCCUGGUGCCGACGCCCCAGCUUCUGGCAAGUAUCCAGUGGCCCUGCCAGAGAAAUUCAUUAGGUCCCCGGCCAGCUUUCCCAUGUUUCUUGCCGAAGCCAAGCUGUAUAUUCAGGGGUGAGCCCGGAAUUUCCCUGAUGACUGCACCAAGGUGCACUUCCUGAUCAGCUUGCUGAAGGACCGGGUGGCCAAGUGGGGAUUGCCGCUGCUCCGGCAAGACUCUCCCUUGCUGACAGACUAUACAGGGUUUUGCAACCAUCUGGAAACCGCGUUCGGCAACCCUUAGAAGGGGAGUCAAGCCAAUCGGGCAAUUCAGUGGUUGAAACAGGACAAGUCCACAGUGGCCACCUACGCCACAGAAUUUUGGUUGUUGGCACAGGACUUGUUCUGGAAUGACUGCAAUCUUCAGGACCAGUAUCUCGAGAGGCUUUCAGAUGAGAUACUGGACCAGCUGGCCAUGAUGGAUCGCCCCGCCACGCUGGAUAACCUCAUUCAACGGAGCCUGCUGAUAGACGAUCGGUUGGAGGACCGCCGCCAGGCUCCGGGCCGCCAGCACUCCCAGCUCCCAGCUCCAGUCCUUCCCAGCAGUUUCACGGUCACAGCCAAGUCGCUGGAGGAGCCAAUGCAGCUCGGGGCAGUGCGGCCUCGCCUCUCCCCCUCGGAGAAGUCUUGGCGUCUGGAGGGGAACCUGUCUCUCUACUGCGGCGGGAGUGGACACUAUGCCCAAUCCUGUCCCGAGAAAACGCCGGCCACAGGGAA